CCAUUUCCUGUCAGGGUCUGGGUGUCUUAUCCCAUCUGACUCAGAGCCUUGUCUUCCUCCCUCUUCUUUACCAAUAAAUGGCAUGUCCCCUGUUAGUAUGUGGCCACCAGUUUCUUAGACUCACACCACUUUAAGGGACCAAAUACAAAUGUCCAUAGCAUAUGCCAUUCUUAAACUGCAGAAAUGAUGUCAAAGAAGAAUGUGGAGAUAAGAGAGCAGGAGGAAUUAUGAAAAUCCGGAUAGCAUCUUCUCUUCUAGGGUGGAAGGUAUGCUAGUAAAGUAAUUUAAUGAAACAAUCAGACAGAUGCAAUAUGUCCUCAUCAUGGAGUGUCUCACAUGGGCAGUGCACAAAUAAAUUUCUAAAAAUUCCAUAAGGUAGAGGUGAUGGAUGAGGCUUAUUUCCACACAGGGAGCCCACAAAUAUCCAGAGAAGUAAAAAAUCUGACACUUGGAAAGAAAAUUGCCUCAUCUUGACAUCAGAAACCCAUUUCAAUAUGUCCGAGGGGCAAUGUGGAAAAGAAAUGGAAACUUCAAAAACACAUUUCUUAUGAAAUGUCUAGCUCAUGUUUGAACAUAAAAACAGAAUUGUCCACGAUUUUAGAAAAGCCAACCCAUGACAAUGAAUCACUACACUCAGAAACACCACUGAGUCAACAGACUUCAGUCUGUGAGCAGGUCAGUGAGGCCCCAGGUGAAUCAAGGCUCUCACGUACAUUGUACAGAACCCAUAAUUGAGCCACACAAUCUAUAACCAAGUCUUCUUUG
rnacentral:lncRNA from 1 species